rnacentral:rRNA from 1 species
AACGAACGCUGGCGGCAUGCCUAACACAUGCAAGUCGAACGAGACCUUCGGGUCUAGUGGCGCACGGGUGCGUAACGCGUGGGAACCUGCCCUUAGGUUCGGAAUAACUCCCCGAAAGGGGUGCUAAUACCGGAUAAUGUCUUCGGACCAAAGAUUUAUCGCCUUUGGAUGGGCCCGCGUUGGAUUAGCUAGUUGGUAGGGUAAAAGCCUACCAAGGCGACGAUCCAUAGCUGGUCUGAGAGGAUGAUCAGCCACACUGGGACUGAGACACGGCCCAGACUCCUACGCGAGGCAGCAGUAGGUAAUAUUGGACGAUGGGCGAAAGCCUGAUCCAGCCAUGCCGCGUGAGUGAUGAAGGCCUUAGGGUUGUAAAGCUCUUUUACCCGGGAUGAUAAUGACAGUACCGGGAGAAUAAGCUCCGGCUAACUCCGUG